rnacentral:tRNA from 1 species
GGUCCCGUAGCUCAAUGGAUAGAGCACCUGCCUUCUAAGCAGGCGGUUACAGGUUCGACCCCUGUCGGGAUCACCA